ACUCCUACGGGAGGCAGCAGUGGGGAAUAUUGCACAAUGGGCGCAAGCCUGAUGCAGCCAUGCCGCGUGUAUGAAGAAGGCCUUCGGGUUGUAAAGUACUUUCAGCAGUGAGGAAGGUGGGUAUGUUAAUAGCAUAUUCAUUUGACGUUAGCUGCAGAAGAAGCACCGGCUAACUCCGUGCCAGCAGCCGCGGUAAUACGGAGGGUGCGAGCGUUAAUCGGAAUUACUGGGCGUAAAGCGCAUGCAGGUGGUUUGUUAAGUCAGAUGUGAAAGCCCGGGGCUCAACCUCGGAAUUGCAUUUGAAACUGGCAAACUAGAGUACUGUAGAGGGGGGGUAGAAUUUCAGGUGUAGCGGUGAAUGCGUAGAGAUCUGAAGGAAUACCGGUGGCGAAGGCGGCCCCCCUGGACAGAUACUGACACUCAGAUGCGAAAGCGUGGGGAGCAAACAGGAUUAGAUCCCCCUGGUAGGCUCUGGC
rnacentral:rRNA from 1 species